CCGAGGGCACGCCUGCCUGGGCGUCACGC
rnacentral:rRNA from 1 species